rnacentral:tRNA from 1 species
GCGGGUAUAGCUCAAUGGUAGAGUGUGUGCUUGGCAUACAUGAGGUCCUGGGUUCAGUCCCCAGUACCUCCA